rnacentral:tRNA from 1 species
ACUUUCAAAGGAUAACAGUAAUCCAGUGGUCUUAGGAGCCAUCAAUCUUGGUGCAAAUCCAAGUGAAAGUA